rnacentral:rRNA from 1 species
GACGAACGCUGGCGGCGUGCUUAACACAUGCAAGUCGAACGGACCUUCGGGUUAGUGGCGAACGGGUGAGUAACACGUGGGUGAUCUGCCCUGCACUUUGGGAUAAGCCUGGGAAACUGGGUCUAAUACCGAAUAGGACCACGCGCUUCAUGGUGUGUGGUGGAAAGCUUUUGCGGUGUGGGAUGGGCCCGCGGCCUAUCAGCUUGUUGGUGGGGUAAUGGCCUACCAAGGCGACGACGGGUAGCCGGCCUGAGAGGGUGACCGGCCACACUGGGACUGAGAUACGGCCCAGACUCCUACGGGAGGCAGCAGUGGGGAAUAUUGCACAAUGGGCGCAAGCCUGAUGCAGCGACGCCGCGUGAGGGAUGACGGCCUUCGGGUUGUAAACCUCUUUCGCCAGGGACGAAGCGCAAGUGACGGUACCUGGAGAAGAAGGACCGGCCAACUACGUGCCAGCAGCCGCAGUAACAC